rnacentral:rRNA from 1 species
AACGAACGCUGGCGGCAUGCCUAACACAUGCAAGUCGAACGAGACCUUCGGGUCUAGUGGCGCACGGGUGCGUAACGCGUGGGAACCUGCCCUUAGGUUCGGAAUAACUCCCCGAAAGGGGUGCUAAUACCGGAUAAUGUCUUCGGACCAAAGAUUUAUCGCCGUUGGAUGGGACCGCGUUGGAUUAGCUAGUUGGUAGGGUAAAAGCCUACCAAGGCGACGAUCCAUAGCUGGUCUGAGAGGAUGAUCAGCCACACUGGGACUGAGACACGGCCCAGACUCCUACGGGAGGCAGCAGUGGGGAAUAUUGGACAAUGGGCGAAAGCCUGAUCCAGCAAUGCCGCGUGAGUGAUGAAGGCCUUAGGGUUGUAAAGCUCUUUUACCUGGGAUGAUAAUGACAGUACCGGGAGAAUAAGCACCGGCUAACUCCGUG